rnacentral:rRNA from 1 species
GAUGAACGCUGGCGGCGUGCCUAAUACAUGCAAGUCGAGCGAACAGACGAGGAGCUUGCUCCUCUGACGUUAGCGGCGGACGGGUAAGUAACACGUGGAUAACCUACCUAUAAGACUGGGAUAACUUCGGGAAACCGGAGCUAAUACCGGAUAAUAUAUUGAACCGCAUGGUUCAAUAGUGAAAGACGGUUUUGCUGUCACUUAUAGAUGGAUCCGCGCCGCAUUAGCUAGUUGGUAAGGUAACGGCUUACCAAGGCAACGAUGCGUAGCCGACCUGAGAGGGUGAUCGGCCACACUGGAACUGAGACACGGUCCAGACUCCUACGGGAGGCAGCAGUAGGGAAUAUUCCGCAAUGGGCGAAAGCCUGACGGAGCAACGCCGCGUGAGUGAUGAAGGUCUUCGGAUCGUAAAACUCUGUUAUUAGGGAAGAACAAAUGUGUAAGUAACUAUGCACGUCUUGACGGUACCUAAUCAGAAAGCCACGGCUAACUACGUG